rnacentral:RNase_P_RNA from 1 species
CGGCUGGUAAGGGUGAAAGGGUGCGGUAAGAGCGCACCGCGCGACCGGCAACGGAAGCGGCACGGUAAACCCCACCGGGAGCAAGACCAAAUAGGGGCGGCGGUCUUCCCUUCGGGGAAGCGAAAUGGACUUCCGCAUAGUCGCCCGGGUCGGUUGCGUGAGGUGUCCGGUAACGGGCAUCCCAGAUGAAUGGCCGUCCAUCGUGGGGAACCACGGGGACAAAACCCGGCUUACAGGCCGUCUGACGCA